GAUGAACGCUGACAGAAUGCUUAACACAUGCAAGUCAACCGGAAUUUGGGUUUUUAACUUCGGUUUGGGUGGCGGACGGGUGAGUAACGCGUAAAGAACUUGCCUCACAGCUAGGGACAACAUUUGGAAACGAAUGCUAAUACCUAAUAUUAUGAUAAUAGGACAUCCUAUAAUUAUGAAAGCUAUCAGCGCUGUGAGAAAGCUUUGCGUCACAUUAGCUAGUUGGCGAGGUAACGGCGCACCAAGGCGAUGAUGGGUAGCCGGCCUGAGAGGGUGAUCGGCCACAAGGGGCCUGGGGCACCGCCCUUACUCCUUCGGGAGGCAGCAGUGGGAACUAUUGGACGCAGGACCGAGUGUCUGAUGCAGCAAUUCUGUGUGCACGAUGAAGUUUUUCGGAAUGUAAAGUGCUUUCAGUUGGGAAGAAACAAAUGACGGUACCAACAGAAGAAGUGACGGCUAACUACGUG
rnacentral:rRNA from 1 species